CGGAGUUUAGACCACUAGCGGUUAUUGUGGGUCAGAUCUGACGGCCGGGAAUUAGAAAUCCCGGCCGUGAUCUGACCCACAAGACACCAAAGAAGUUGUCCCUGCAACGGUAUCGGCUAGGGUGCUGAGUCGCCGUCUCUCUUCGUCCAACACAACAAACCCUUCUCUUUCCCUCUCCCUCUGUGGCUACUCUUCCCUCAUCUCUCUCUCCUUCUUCUUCUCUCUUUCCUUGCCUUUAUUUUCGUCCCUUUCAGCUGUCUCUCUCCCGAUCAGACGAACGAUAAUCCUCCACGUCCACGUCGUCUUCUUCGACUCAUGCUCCCUGUUAUAUAACCGCCUCGUUCGCUUCUUCUUUCCUGUUUCUUCUGUUUCUAGGGUUUCCUUUCCACAAAUGCGAGAAGAGGAGGGAGAAAUCGAUGACUCCAUGGUGCCUGCGCUUGUUGAUCAAUCGAUGCUCGUAUUUUGAUCGAGGAUCUGAACUUAUUCGUGGAUGUAGACGGAGAAACUGUUUUCAGUGACGAAUUAGGUAUGGUCGUUUUUUUGUUCAGAUAGAAGCUGAGAAUUUGCCGUUUUGGGAGGAGGAAGAACUGAGAUUGCACCAUCUUCUUGUAGUUCGGAUGGCGAUUGUAAAGAAUAACUUUAGGGUUUCGAAAAUUGAUGGCGAGUUUUCUCCUGGGAGUAGAGACAGUAUGUCGACUGAGGAGGAUGAGCUUCCAAGGCGAAGCUCUGCCUCCGAAUCUGACAAUGAUGAAGAAGAAGAAGAUGAUGGUGCUGACUCGGGAGCAGGUUCUGAUGACUUUGAUAUGUCAGAAUUGGGUGAAACUGGAACAGAAUUUUGUCAAAUUUGGAACCAGAACUGUCGUAUACCGUUUGAGCUCUAUGAUCUUCCAGACUUGGGGGAAGUUUUGACAUUAGAUGUGUGGAACAACUGCCUGACUGAAGAGGAGCGCUUUAGCCUUGCAGAGUAUCUUCCCGACAUGGACGAGGCGACUUUCAUGCGUACCCUGAAAGAGCUCUUCUCUGGAAGCAAUUUUCAUUUUGGAAGUCCGGUUGCUAAACUCUUCAAUUUGUUGAAGGGAGGACUAUGUGAACCGAGAGUUUCCCUUUAUCAGCAUGGUUUGAAUUUAUUCCAGAAGCGCCAGCAUUACCACCUCCUGCGCAAAUAUCAGAACUCCAUGGUCAGUAAUCUUAUUCAGAUAAGGGAUGCUUGGGAGAACUGUGUAGGAUACAGUAUUGAAGAGAGGCUUCGUGUUCUGAAUAUAAUGAGAAGUGAAAAGAUUCUUAUGUACGAGAAGAUGGAAGACAUUGGACUAGAGAGUGGCUCCUCAGAUUGGGAGGAAUCUCGUAAAGGCUUCUGGGGAAAAAGACCAAAGGACAUUAAACUUGGGCCAAAAGCAGAAUGUGGUGCUGUUUAUACAGUAAGUCCUAUGUUGGGUGUUUCUUCUCAAGGGAAGCUUAUGACACUGAAAUCAGCAAAAUAUGGAAAGCAAAACCCUAAAGGAAUAUUGAAGUUUGCUGGAUCAAAAGUUCCUUCUACAAAAGACAUGGUGGGUCGUGUUCCUUCCACUCAACAUGGUUUGGAAAUGAAGUCUAGGUCAUCUCUUCCAGUGUUAGCUCACCCUCAGCAAGAACGGGUGGUGGGAUAUGGAUAUGGAGCUGCUCACUGGUCAAGGGGUCAGGUAGGAGGUGAGGAAGAUAUCGAUGAUGCAGCAUAUGAUUUGGCUCUCCAGAGGGAUCGACAUGGUGCACGUGGCAGUGUUAUUGCUAAAGUUGGCACGUUAAAAUCAGGAAAGAAGUCUGAUUCUUUCAAAAGUGACUUCUAUGUUGACAAUUUUAUGGGUGGAAAUUGUAAUGUGAAUCAGAGGGCAGAUAUGGAGUUAUUGACAGAAAAAAUGAACAACCAAAGAGCUUCUGGGAAGAAGGCUAAGUAUCUUGGGAAGCCUCAGAAAUCUGUGGUAGGUCAGAUGAAGAUCGCAAAAGACAGAGCACAGCUUCUGUUAUUGAAGGGAAGUCAUCUUGACUGGUCUUCUGGAAGUGAACCCUUUAGACAUAACAAAUUACAAGGAGAAGCCUUUGAGGCUGAUUAUCCAGUCAAUUUUGAUGAUUGGAGUGUUAGAAGCAAGAAAUGGAAGAUGGGGAAGGAUUUUCAAACUGGUAAAAACGGUGUAGGUUCUGAUUCAAAAAUUAAAUAUAGAGCAUUCCCAACCCUUAUGGAUGAUAAAUUCACUUACACAUCAAAAAAACUACAAGAGAAAGUCAAGCAGAAAUCUUCUAAAACUGGAGGAGUGAAAAUGGAAAAACUGAGAGGCAUUAAUAUGUUUGGCCAGAGUGAGGAGACAGAGUCAGAUUCAGCAGAGCAGGGAAAUGAAGAGGAUGAUAUUAAUCUUCUGCGAAGUAAUAUGGCCUAUCCUGGUGGUACCUUGGAAGGUCAUAGGUCCGCUUCUGUCAAAUAUUUGUUAGAUCCUAAAAGAUCCAAUAAACUUGUGAGAAAAGAUAAAAAGGAAUAUGCUCAGGCUCUUGAUGCAGUCACAUACUCAUCCAAGAGGGCAGGUGAUUUUGAUGAGCAGAUGCAUACAUGUGAUGUAGAAAUUUACUCGUCCAAAGGAAAAUAUAAAAAUAAGGCACUUGAUCCCAGUUACUAUGCUGCUGGAAUCUUGGCAAGUAAUUUUUCUACUUCAACUAAAUGGUCUGAUGAUGAUUGGGACCAGACUUACAAGUUGGGGAAGAAUGGUCAGUUGCAGGGUGAACCUCAUGAAAGGUCAACUCCACCAUUGUUGAAGGCCUACCCUGCAGAAAGGAAGAAAAAAGGAAAAAUUAAACCUGAUUAUAUUGUUUCUCAGUCAAACUACAUGCAUGAUUAUGUUAGUGAUGAUGGUGAUGAUGAUGAGGAUGAUUUGCACUUGACACAUAGAUCAGUGGAUGAUCACAGGCAGACUAAUAGGUUGUGGAAGAAAGGGAAAAACGUUGGAACUCAUUCAAGCAAUAAUCAUGAAAGGUCGAGUAUGUCAUUGUUAGGGUGUGGCUCAGUGACAAAGAAGCGGAAAGGCAAGGGAGAUGUGACAUACAUGGAUGAGCCAAAUGAAUCUGGUUACAUGCAGUCAAGUUCUCACCAACAGAUUGAUGACACAGCUUCCUUGAAGAAACGGGGAAAAAGGAAAGUGGAGCCUGAAACUGGCUCUUUGGCAAAGUUAACUUCUGAGCCACUUGUUUCAGAAAGGGGAACAGUAGAUGUAGAGCCAGAAAAAAAACCAGCAAAAAAGUCAUUCCCUCUGAUCACACCUACUGUUCAUACUGGCUUCUCAUUCUCCAUUAUGCAUCUUCUCUCAGCUGUUCGCUUGGCAAUGAUUACUCCAUAUGCAGAAGACACCUUGGAGUUUGGCAAACACCUUGAGAAGAAAGUUGGAAGACAGAAGCCUUAUAAAGGAGAGGCUGCAAAGUAUGAAAGCUUCAUUGGGAAUGAGAAUCUGGAUAUCAAUGAUUCGGCACUUGCAGCACAGAAGAAUUUGCCUUCUCUCACUGUUCAAGAGAUUGUCAACCGUGUGAGGUUGAACCCUGGAGAUCCUUGUAUUCUUGAAACACAGGAGCCACUUCAGGACUUGGUCAGGGGGGUACUGAAAAUAUUUUCAUCUAAAACAGCACCUUUAGGUGCAAAGGGUUGGAAACCACUCGCAUUUUAUGAAAAAUCUACAAAAAGUUGGUCAUGGGUUGGGCCAGUUUACUCUAGCUCAUCAGAUAACGAGGUUGUUGAAGAGGAGACUUCUUAUCAUGCCUGGUGUCUUCCACACAAGAUGCUUGUGAAGUUGGUUGAUUCAUUUGCUAAUUGGCUGAAAAGUGGUCAAGAAACACUUCAGCAAAUAGGAUGCCUUCCUGCACCACCCGUGACACUGAUGCAACCCAAUUUGGAUGAGAAGGAAAGAUUCAGGGAUCUAAGAGCUCAGAAGAGUCUCACCACUAUCAGUCCAAGCUCUGAAGAAGUAAGGGCUUAUUUUCGUAAAGAGGAAGUCCUUAGGUAUUCUGUUCCAGACAGGGCCUUCUCUUACACAGCAGCUGAUGGUAAAAAAUCAAUUGUUGCUCCUUUGAGAAGGUGUGGUGGCAAGCCAACAUCAAAAGCCCGAGACCAUUUUAUGCUUAAACCUGAUCGACCACCUCAUGUUACAAUCCUUUGUCUUGUAAGGGAUGCAGCUGCAAGAUUGCCUGGAAGUAUUGGCACUAGGGCAGAUGUUUGUACCCUGAUAAGAGACUCACAGUAUAUUGUUGAAGAUGUUUCGGAUGCACAAAUUAACCAAGUAGUUAGUGGAGCACUGGACCGCCUUCAUUAUGAACGUGAUCCUUGUGUCCAAUUUGAUGGAGAUAGGAAGUUAUGGGUUUAUCUACAUAGAGAGAGAGAAGAAGAAGAUUUUGAAGAUGAUGGCACCUCAUCUACAAAAAAAUGGAAAAGACAAAGGAAGGAUGUUACGGAGCAAACAGACCUUGGAAUAACCAAUGUGGACUAUCAUGGGUCUGCGGAGCAAAUUGCAAGCAGUACAGCUGUUGGACGUGAUUUGAGCUUUGAUCCAAAUGUUGAAUCCUCAUCGAUGCAUGAAAUGAAGGAAAAGGAACUUGAUUGUGAUGAUUUGAGGCAAAAUGUGAAUGGGGAUUUGGAGACGUUUGAUGGCUCAGCACAAGAUGGUAUUCAUCAUGGUCACACAAUGGAUUGGAACACUAUCAAUUUAAAUCCCAUGCGGGAUAGCAAAAUGCUGUGUCAAGAAAAUUCCAUGAGUGAAGAUUUUAAUGAUGAAUCAUUUAGCAGAGGAAGGCCUCUUGGGAUUUUAAGUGCAAGCUUAUUGUGAGGAAUAAUAGAUUAGUUGGACACACCUUGUUUUCCAGGAGUGGUCCAGGUGUAGAAGUCCAGCAAAUAUUCAUCACCAAAUAUGCAUGGCAUGAUCAUCCCAUUUGAGGUGCAUAGCUGUACAUUGAAGAACAACGUUACAUAUUAGCUAUGGAAACUAGUAGGCCUGUUCUGGUAGUCUUGUUCAUGUUCUCAAGUUGAUGUACAACACUUGGGACAUGAGUUCUUCCUGGGGAACAGAGAUUCCCUAAUUUCUUGAAUUUGUUCUGUUUCCUUUGCAAGUCUCAGCAAUAUAAUUGGAACUCUCAACUCUUUAUUGACUUCUGAAGACAAACCUUGAUAACAGAGCCUUGAGCCCUCACAAUUUGCUUCACAGUUGUGAGCAUCUAGAGGUUGCACCUCAGUCCAUUUUCUUGUACUUGCCUGGAGGCAAAAGCCUUAAAAGCUGUUUUCCCUCUUGAUGGACAACGAUAAAUUUGUUGAAGAGAAAGCGAACGCAAGGAUGGAAUAUGAAGAGGAUCUUACCAAAGGGAAAGCAACAAGUCAAUUGAAAAGCAAAGAAAUCUGAACGCCAUAAAUGGAUAAAACCCAAAACCUGCUUCCUAAUCUGCUUAGAGACAAGAUCGUUCGUAAGAAUGCCUGCAAUCGAUUUGUUGAUUCAUGGACCCAAGAGAACAAGAUGUUCAAGCAGUGUCUCAUCC